UAAGCAAAAAUAUAACAAAAUGAUAUUCUUGGCCUUGACCGGUUUGGAUCACUGGACAGAGCAUCGGCCUGCGGACUGAAGGGUCCCAGGUUUGAUUCCGAUCAAGGGCAUGUGCCUCGGUUGCGGACACAUCCCCAGUGGAGGGUGUGCAAGAGGCAGCUGAUCAAUGUUUCUC